rnacentral:rRNA from 1 species
CCUACGGGGGGCAGCAGUGAGGAAUAUUGGUCAAUGGACGAGAGUCUGAACCAGCCAAGUAGCGUGAAGGAUGACUGCCCUAUGGGUUGUAAACUUCUUUUAUAUGGGAAUAAAAUGUUCCACGUGUGGGAUUUUGUAUGUACCAUAUGAAUAAGGAACGGCUAACUCCGUGCCAGCAGCCGCGAUAAUACGGAGGAUCCGAGCGUUAUCCGGAUUUAUUGGGUUUAAAGGGAGCGUAGGUGGAUUGUUAAGUCAGUUGUGAAAGUUUGCGGCUCAACCGUAAAAUUGCAGUUGAAACUGGCAGUCUUGAGUACAGUAGAGGUGGGCGGAAUUCGUGGUGUAGCGGUGAAAUGCUUAGAUAUCACGAAGAACUCCGAUUGCGAAGGCAGUUCACUGGACUGCAACUGACACUGAGGCUCGAAAGUGUGGGUAUCAAACAGGAUUAGAUACCCCUGUAGUC